rnacentral:rRNA from 1 species
AGAGUUUGAUCCUGGCUCAGGAUGAACGCUGGCGGCGUGCCUAAUACAUGCAAGUCGAGCGAUAUGUUAGCGCAUGGCCCUUCUGGGGAUUAUGCUAACGGACGGCGGCGGACGGGUGAGUAAGGCGGAGGCAACCUGCCCCUGACAGAGGGAUAGCCAUUGUAAACGAUGAUAAAAACCUCAUGACACCGUAUAAGCACAUGCUUCAUCUGUCACACAUUUAUCGGUCCCGGAUGGGCCUGCGUCUGAUUAACUAGUUGGUGAGGUAACGGCUCACCAAUGUGACGAUCACCUGCCGACCUGAUAGGGUGAUCGGCCACAUUGGAACUGACACACGGUCCAAACUUCUACGGAAGGCAGCAGUAGGGAAUCUUGCACAAUGGGCGAAAGCCUGAUGCAGCAACGCCGCGUGAAGGAUGAAGGCCUUCGGGUUGUAAACUUCUGUUCUAAGGGAAGAAACAAAUGACGGUACCUUAGGAGCAAGCCCCGGCUAACUACGUGCCAGCAGCCGCGGUAAUACGUACGGGGCAAGCGUUAUCCGGAAUUAUUGGUCGUAAAGAGUGCGUAGGUGGUUACCUAAGCGCAAGGUUUAAUUUAGAGGCUCAACCUCUACUUGCCUUGCGAACUGGGCUACUUGAGUGCAGGAAGUUAAAGCCGAAUUCCUAGUGUAGCGGUGAAAUGCGUAGAUAUUAAGAGGAACACCUGUGGCGAAAGCGGCUUUCUGGACUGUAACUGACACUGAGGCACGAACGCGUGGGUAACAAACAGGAUUAGAUACCCUGGUAGUCCACGCCGUAAACGAUGAGCACUACGUGUUGAGCCCGUUAGGGCUCAGUGCCUCAGUUCACGCAAUGACGUGCUCCGCAUGGGGAGUACGCUCGCAAGAGUAAUACUCACACGGAAGUUGAAGGUCACCCGCACAUGCAGCGAGCCUGUGGUUUAAUUCGAAGCGAUCGCGUAAAUACCAUAACCAAGGCUGACAUCCUGCUGGACAGUGAGCCUCAUCCAGGUGCCGUUCUCUGACAGAAAGAUCACGUCGUGCAAUGGAUGUUCAUCAGCCUCGCGUCGUGGGAUGUUGGGCUAAGUACCGCCAACAAAGGCUAC